rnacentral:tRNA from 1 species
GCCUGGGUGGCUCAGUAGGUUUAGCAUCUGACUUCCGCUCAGGUCAAGAUCUCACAGUCGUCCGUGAGUUCGAGCCCCGCGUCAGGCU